CUACGGUGAAUACGUUCCCGGAACCUUGUACACACCGCCCGUCAAGCCAUGGAAGCUGGGUGUACCUAAAGUCGAUAACCGUAAGGAGUCGCCUAGGGUAAAACUAGUAACUGGGGCU
rnacentral:rRNA from 1 species